rnacentral:rRNA from 1 species
AGCGUACGCUGGCGGCAGGCCUAAUACAUGCAAGUCGAGCGCACCUUCGGGUGAGCGGCGGACGGGUGAGUAACGCGUGGGAACGUGCCCUUUGGUACGGGAUAACUGAGGGAAACUUCAGCUAAUACCGUAUGUGCCCUACGGGGGAAAGAUUUAUCGCCAUUGGAGCGGCCCGCGUUGGAUUAGGUAGUUGGUGGGGUAAAGGCCCACCAAGCCUACGAUCCAUAGCUGGUCUGAGAGGAUGAUCAGCCACACUGGGACUGAGACACGGCCCAGACUCCUACGGGAGGCAGCAGUAGGGAAUCUUGCGCAAUGGGCGAAAGCCUGACGCAGCCAUGCCGCGUGAAUGAUGAAGGUCUUAGGAUUGUAAAAUUCUUUCACCGGGGAAGAUAAUGACGGUACCCGGAGAAGAAGCCCCGGCUAACUUCGUGCCAGCCGCCGCCGUAACAC